UACGGAGGGUGCGAGCGUUGUCCGGAAUCAUUGGGCGUAAAGGGCGCGUAGGUGGCCCGCUCAGCGUGCGGUGAAAGCUCGGGGCUCAACCCCGAGUCGGCCGUGCGAACUGGUGGGCUGGAGCACUGUAGAGGCAGGCGGAAUUCCGGGUGUAGCGGUGGAAUGCGUAGAGAUCCGGAAGAACACCGGUGGCGAAGGCGGCCUGCUGGGCAGUGCUGACACUGAGGCGCGACAGCGUGGGGAGCAAACAGG
rnacentral:rRNA from 1 species